UUAAGUUCAGCGGGUAGUCCUACCUGAUUUGAGAUCAGAUCGUAAAUUCGUUGUCUAAGUCAAUAGACCGUUGGAAGCGGUUCGUCCGCAAGCCUGGCCACCUUUUUCAACGGGUGUCCUCAGCGAGUGAUACUUAUCACGCCGAGUGGAACCAAGUUCACCGAGAAUCCAGCUAAUGCAUUUAAGAGGAGCAGACUGUG
rnacentral:misc_RNA from 1 species